rnacentral:rRNA from 1 species
GCCUACGGCCACGCCACCCUGAAAACUCCUGAUAUCAUCUGAUCUCGGAAGCUAAGCAGUGUCGGGCUCAGUUAGUACUUGGAUAGGAGACCACCUGGGAAUCCCGGGUGCUAUACUUG